UCCACCAUAUAUUCCGAAAUGAGAGUUUGCAAUGUUGUGAAAGGUAACACCGUGUCACUAUCAUGUCUCAGCAAAGCUCCAUCGAGUUUCUUUUCCUCUUUCAUGAGCUCAGAAAUCGUGGUGGAGGCAAAUGUUUGCAGAUCUGCAAGGGACGGGGCUUGCUCGCUUGGGCUAUCAUCAGCUGUGCAAGUUCUACAUUGGCAGCAACGACAGUCGUAAAAUCUACAGCGAUUACCUGAGGAUGCACUGGCACAGACAAUCUCUUUCUUUAUCCCAAUGAAGGUGAUGUUGCU
rnacentral:lncRNA from 1 species